UGCCACUGAAAAUAUGAUGUAGCCUCCUAAUGCAGGGGGAGCACUUCCGGUCUUGUGCUACACGGAAUGGAAGAGUCCGUCGUGGGCGCAACUGAAAGAAAUAUUAGCAGUUGUAAAAUUCCCGCUGUUUUUAGGAACUUCAGUAUAGCAAUUUCAUACCAACAAGUACCUGAAAGACUACUUGUAAGUACAUUAGCCAGUAGGAACUCAAGAGCGAGAAUGAUCAAUGGAACUCGGAGGGCUAUUUCCUUGGGGAUGGAUUAGGUAGGGGGCCGUAGUUUCCUCCCUUUGUGACUAUGUCAACCUCUUCAUAUUCAUCCCUUGACAUGCAAUGC
rnacentral:lncRNA from 1 species